rnacentral:misc_RNA from 1 species
AACGCACAUUGCGCCCCUGGCAUUCCGGGGGGCAUGCCUGUCCGAGCGUCAUUGCUGCCCUCAAGCACGGCUUGUGUGUUGGGUGUGGUCCCCCCCGAUUUAGGGGGGGACCUGCCCGAAAGGCAGCGGCGACGCCCCGCCUAGGUCCUCGAGCGUAUGGGGCUUUGUCACCCGCUCGGGAGGGGCCUGCGGGCGUUGGUCAUCCCCAUCUUUUUUUUACGGUUGACCUCGGAUCAGGUAGGGAUACCCGCUGAACUUAA